rnacentral:rRNA from 1 species
GAUGAACGCUAGCGACAGGCUUAACACAUGCAAGUCGAGGGGCAGCAUAAAAGUAGCAAUACUUUGGUGGCGACCGGCGCACGGGUGAGUAACGCGUAUGCAACCUACCUAUCAGAGGGGAAUAACCCGGCGAAAGUCGGACUAAUACCGCAUAAAACAGGGGCACCGCAUGGUGAUAGUUGUUAAAGAGAUUCGCUGAUAGAUGGGCAUGCGUUCCAUUAGGUAGUUGGUGAGGUAACGGCACACCAAGCCGACGAUGGAUAGGGGAACUGAGAGGUUGGUCCCCCACACUGGUACUGAGACACGGACCAGACUCCUACGGGAGGCAGCAGUGAGGAAUAUUGGUCAAUGGGCGAGAGCCUGAACCAGCCAAGUCGCGUGAAGGAAGAAGGAUCUAUGGUUCGUAAACUUCUUUUGCAGGGGAAUAAAGUGCAGGACGUGUCCUGUUUUGUAUGUACCCUGAGAAUAAGGAUCGGCUAACUCCGUGCCAGCAGCCGCAGUAA